ACCAGAGAGGGUGUGUGUGCCUGCCUGAUGGAAACGUGAGAACAUUAAGCUCAACAAAAGAGUCAUUAAAGGAAGUAUACUUGCAGUUAAUUUUGAGGACAGUCUCGGUGUCCAGAGUCUUCAAAGCACAGUUGAAUAUUUCACAUAGAGCCAGCCCUCAAGGUCACUUGUCCGGGGAGUUGUGCUGAGCCUGGCAGAAACUGGUCUUCAAAUUUGGAAUCGCCAUAAAUCCGCAAUGUGUUUUCCACCAAAGUCCUAGGGUUAAAGGACUGUCAUCUUCACAGCAUCAUCUGUGCCAGCCUAAAAUAACUGCCAUGGGUCUUGGUAAAUGUCACUACUCCUUCAAAAGAGAGCAGAAGAACAGCCAUCAUGCUAAGCUAAAAAAAAAGUUUAUGUAACUAUAAAAUGUCCUGAUAUACACUGAGUAAAGACUUUUCAUUGUG
rnacentral:lncRNA from 1 species